GCCAGGAAUAGCCCGGCAAGAUCUGCCCGCAGCGCCAGCGCUCCCCCCGCCCCGGGCAGGGCGGGCUGCGGCUCCCGGGCCGCCGCCUCUCCCCCGAGUGCAACACCAGCCCCUCCGCCGCUGCCAGGGCGAUGGUGGUGAUCCUGCCUAAAGAGAGGGAGCGGAAUGACCUGCCUGCAGACAAAUGCGUGAAGCGGACGUCCCUCGGCCGCUGGAAUAUCGCUGUCUGUCCUUACAUAUAAAGAAGCACCGCGAGCCACCUCACUCCUCCAGGCAAGCCCUUAGCAAAGGAGCGACGAGAGCGCCCGGCGGAAUCCGCAGCGGCAGCAAGGGCACCGGGAGGGCUUCCCUCCUUCCCCGCGGUGACUCUCCAGGUGGGCCCCUCUUCUGA
rnacentral:lncRNA from 1 species